GAGGUUGUGGCUCAGUGGCAGAGCGCUUGCCUAGCAUGUGUGAGGCACUGGGUUCAAUUCUCAGCACCACA
rnacentral:tRNA from 1 species